GCUGAUAUGGUGUAAGGGUAGCACAUCGUGAAAAUGUCCACUCGAUGAAGGAACACUUUAUCACGGAGGAGUGGGUUCGACUCCCAUUAUCGGCU